rnacentral:tRNA from 1 species
GGGAAUGCGCUAACGAUGGUGAGUUAGAGCGGACUGUAAAUCCGUUGUCUUUGACUUAGUAGGUUCGAAUCCUACCAUUCCCA